AACGAACGCUGGCGGCAUGCCUAACACAUGCAAGUCGAACGAUGCUUUCGGGCAUAGUGGCGCACGGGUGCGUAACGCGUGGGAAUCUGCCCUUGGGUUCGGAAUAACAGUGAGAAAUUGCUGCUAAUACCGGAUGAUGUCUUCGGACCAAAGAUUUAUCGCCCAGGGAUGAGCCCGCGUAGGAUUAGCUAGUUGGUGGGGUAAUGGCCUACCAAGGCGACGAUCCUUAGCUGGUCUGAGAGGAUGAUCAGCCACACUGGGACUGAGACACGGCCCAGACUCCUACGGGAGGCAGCAGUGGGGAAUAUUGGACAAUGGGCGCAAGCCGGAUCCAGCAAGGCCGCGGGAGUGAUGAAGGCCUUAGGGUUGUAAAGCUCUUUUACCCGGGAUGAUAAUGACAGUACCGGGAGAAUAAGCUCCGGCUAACUCCGU
rnacentral:rRNA from 1 species